UACAGAGGGGGCAAGCGUUGUUCGGAUUUACUGGGCGUAAAGGGCGCGUAGGCGGCCGAUCAAGUCAGGCGUGAAAGCCCCGGGCUCAACCUGGGAAUGGCGCUUGGGACUGGUUGGCUUGAGUUCGGGAGAGGAGAGUGGAAUUCCCAGUGUAGAGGUGAAAUUCGUAGAUAUUGGGAAGAACACCGGUGGCGAAGGCGGCUCUCUGGACCGAGACUGACGCUGAGGCGCGAAAGCGUGGGGAGCAAACAGG
rnacentral:rRNA from 1 species